GGUGAAGCUCAUUGGCGGGGGUGCUAUGUUUGACCAUAGACUGUAGGAAUCUGAGCAACCUAACGAUAAUGGCCGCAAUCAAGCAGUUCCCUGGGCGGCAGAAGUGGCAGCACUGGCUGCAGCAUUCUGGAAGUUGCGGUUGGUCAGGACUCCUUGAGAAAAUUCCCGUUGGGCCUUGGAGAAACUGGCACCUGUCCUCCUAUACUUCGAGUGGACCUGGUUUGGAUAAUGUACACUGCCACUUGGAAGAAAAAGACGAAGAAGAAAAAAAAGAAGCUGAAGGAGCUGUCGGACCUAGGGAGUGAAACGGGACAAUAGAAAGGACAGACAGGCCUGUACCAGCAGAUGAAGGCCACAGGGGUGAAGAGGAUGAACCAGAGGAUGGAGAGGCCGAAGUCAACACCGUACGC